AGAGAAUGGUUUAUAAUUACUCCCUGAUUUCUCUAUUUUAAAGUUAAUUGUGUUCUAUUUCAAAAAAAAGUUAACGGUUUUCUAGGGGCAUUUGGUAAUCUUUAGAUGGUAAAAAUAAAAACAUUGGGCACGUAAAUACGACUUUGAAAACUCUUGAUUUUUUUUCUUUCUUCUCUAAGUUUUUUUUUUUGCCAAAUCUCUCUUCUCUAAGUAAUUACGUUUCAUUGUGUUAUAACUGUUGAUUUAGCAUCCUCGUCAACAUCAUCACCUUCCUCCGUCUUCCAUAUUAUCUGAUACUGCUCGCGGUUCAUCUUGUUUGACAGUUGAACCAGGUUUAUUAAUCGAGAGAGCAUAGACUUCUCAUAUGCUCAAAGUGUGCAAGCCGUUCAGAGGCAACGCCAAAGAUUGUGUUGAGGAUGAUGGAUUACAAAGAGAUACAAAGUACUCAAGGCGAAUCUAAAGCACGCAUUGCUGAGGGAAUCCGAAAUCCAAUCGACGAAAGCUUUCAGAUUGCUCAGGCUCUUGAAAUGAAAAAGGAAGUGCAGAGAAAACUUCAUGAACAGAUUGAGGCAGGAUUAGUUUAAGUUCAAGUGGUUGGCUUGCUUUGCAGAAUUCCUGAGAAAUAAAGCAGGCAUGAACUGCUACGGAGAGUUGCUGUCGGCGGUAGCGCCUUUGCUAGUAAAAAUAGAACCAAUUCACAUUCUAGAAGAAAAUCUAAAUGAGAUAGCCAACUAAGCAGAUGAUCUACUGGAGGUGAACUUUUUAACCAAGCUGGUGGCUCUAAAACCUGGGAAGACUGGUUAAGAAAUGAUAACAAAAUGUAAUGCUAGGAAAAGAUGACGGAGCUGAAGAUACCGCUAGUAAAGAGGAAAACACUAGGGGUGAAAGUAAUUCAAACGGACUGCUAGAAAUGUGCUCAAUUUUGAGUGACAGCUCUUGCAGAUUUCAUGAAGAUAUUUGUGGAAAAUGAUUCUGUAGCAGAAAAGACAUUCAAUGUUUUGUGAUUUUGAAUAUCGUUAUUUUUUAUGGAAUAUUUUCCGUUUUUUAAUUUUGGUGAAUAUUUUCUUUGUGAUGUAAUGGAUGGAAUAGAUGGAAUUUGUUGCGAUAUAAUGUAUGGAAUAUUUUGUGAUGUAAUGGAUGGAAUAUUUUCGUGAUGUAAUGGAUAAAAUAUUUUCCGUUUUGUAA